UAUUAACAUGCAUGACUAGAUUGACAAAUUAAACGCAUUUGACGUAGACGUAAUUAGAAUGUCUUCUUGAAGACGUGUCUGUAAUUUAAAAGAUAAGAUUAACCUAUAAUAAAGUCACCACACUCAACCAUUCCCUGGCCACUGCCAACAAAAGGUAGAUAGGACAAGGACGCCGCGGAUUUUACCGCAACUUCAAAACUACUUUGUCAACUAUCCAGAGAUUCAGGGGAAUGAAAUCUUAGACUAUUUAUAAUUAAGAUGUUCCUUCAGAGUUGAAAACAACUACAUUCUAGCUUGAACGUCCCACAAGAAGAUGUGGGGUGGCAGCAGGCAGGGGUCUAACCUA